rnacentral:rRNA from 1 species
UACGGGGGGAGCAAGCGUUGUUCGGAUUUACUGGGCGUAAAGGGCGCGUAGGCGGCGUGGCAAGUCACUUGUGAAAUCUCCGGGCUUAACUCGGAACGGUCAAGUGAUACUGCUGUGCUAGAGUGCGGAAGGGGCAACUGGAAUUCUCGGUGUAGCGGUGAAAUGCGUAGAUAUCGAGAGGAACACCUGCGGCGAAGGCGGGUUGCUGGGCCGACACUGACGCUGAAGCGCGAAAGCUAGGGGAGCGAACGGG